rnacentral:rRNA from 1 species
UACAGAGGGUCUCAAGCGUUGUUCGGAUUGCAUUAGGGGCGUAAAGGGUGCGUAGGGCGGCGCGGAUAAGUCGGGUGUGGAAAUCUCGGAGCCUUAACGUCCCGAAACCUGCAUUCGAUAUGCCGUGCUUGAGGGACUGGAGAGGAGACUGGAAUUUACGGUGUAGCGGUGAAAUGCGUAGAUAUCGUAAGGAAGACCAGUGGCGAAGGCGGGUCUCUGGACAUUCUGACGCUGAGGCACGGAAGGUCAGGGGAGCAAACGGG